AACGAACGCUGGCGGCGUGCCUAACACAUGCAAGUCGAACGGGAAAACCCGCAAGGGUGAGUACAGUGGCGCACGGGUGCGUAACACGUGGGUAAUCUGCCCAGAAGCCCGGAAUAGCUCCCCGAAAGGGGUGCUAAUGCCGGAUGAGACCACGGGGACUUCGGUUCCUGGGGGAAAAGGUGGCCUCUGCAUACAAGCUAUCACUUCUGGAUGAGCCCGCGGCCCAUCAGCUAGGUGGCGGGGUAAUGGCCCACCAAGGCAACGACGGGUAGCUGGUCUGAGAGGACGAUCAGCCAAACUGGAACUGAGACACGGUCCAGACUCCGACGGGAGGCAGCAGUGGGGAAUCUUGCGCAAUGGGCGAAAGCCUGACGCAGCAACGCCGCGUGUGUGAUGAAGGUCUUCGGAUCGUAAAGCACUGUCGGGAGGGACGAAUAAGGGCCGGGUGAACAAUCCGGUUCGACGACGGUACCUCCAGAGGAAGCACCGGCUAACUCUGUGCCAGCCGCCGCAGUAAAAC
rnacentral:rRNA from 1 species